AGAUUGAACGCUGGCGGCAGGCCUAACACAUGCAAGUCGAGCGGUAGAGAGGUGCUUGCACCUCUUGAGAGCGGCGGACGGGUGAGUAAUGCCUAGGAAUCUGCCUAGUGGUGGGGGAUAACGUUCGGAAACGGACGCUAAUACCGCAUACGUCCUACGGGAGAAAGCGGGGGACCUUCGGGCCUCGCGCCAUUAGAUGAGCCUAGGUCGGAUUAGCUAGUUGGUGAGGUAAUGGCUCACCAAGGCGACGAUCCGUAACUGGUCUGAGAGGAUGAUCAGCCACACUGGGACUGAGACACGGCCCAGACUCCUACGGGAGCAGCAGUAGGGAAUAUUGG
rnacentral:rRNA from 1 species